CGAUGUCUGUACCGCUUCACACUAGCUCUGUCCCAUUCGAACAGAUCUGGCUGCCUUCGUCACUUCAAAGUCCGACUUUAGUUUUCCUGGGUGCGUUGAAAAUCAAUCGCUGCACGUCGCUGGCGUGGUGCGCAAACUGUCAAUUGUUUUAGCAUGUUGCUUCGUUGCCACUACUAGUUUCGUUUUGGGCUGUGAAGAAAACGCUACGGAGUGGGCGUUACAGUGGUUUUGUUAGCUCUUGCGUUGUUAUGACACGCCCGUGACGAUCGGGUAAUGACGGCGACUACCAGCGGUUCUGCCUAAAUGAAUGGGAAGUUAAGGCAACCACGACGGCGGUCACCAUCUAAGUGCGCUGUGUGGUGAAUGACUCAAGCGCAGCAUGUGAGGGACCAGCAUCACCGACAUCAUAGAGUCGGGAAGACAGCCGUGAACCAUAAAGGAAGUAAAGCAGAGUGCAAGAAGUGGAACUAGCCUCGGACUAGCAUGCAUAAGAUGUUCAGCAGAUAUAGAAUCCAUACCUGUGGACCUAUUAACUGGUGGCAGUUAGGCAAGGGAAGAUAAAUCGGUGUGCCUCACAGCAACACUUACUGUAUAUUGAUGGACAUAUAUCGAGACUACGUUGUUCCACCCACGGGCGGCCAAAAGGCUGGGGCUGGAGGCGGUGUCUCGCCUUGCGGCGGACUGUCAGCUCGAUCCCGACAUCCAACUUUUUUAACUGCAGCAACUUUAAGAUACGCUAUUUGAGCUGGAAUUACCAGGACAGCGGGAGAAAACCUGUCUGGAGGCCGUAAUGUCAGGAGGCUCCGUAACCCUGCUGUCUGAUAUCAUAAUAAUAAUAAUGAUAAUAAUAAUAAUAAUACAUUUUAUUUCUAGAGCGCUUUUCAAAACACACAAAGACGCUUCACAAGAGACAUGGAAUCACAGUACGAUAAAAAGGUAUUAAAAGGAUAAAAAAUUAAAAGCACAAUAAAAAAAAGUAAAAAUAUAACAGAGCUAUGGGUUAUGGUGGGUAACAAAGAGUGAACAGUUGUGUUUUCAGUCUAGAUUUCAAAAGUGAUUGGGUAGAU